UACGAACUGCGCGAACGUUAUUCGGAAUCACUGGGCUUACAGGGUGCGUAGGUGGCAUGGAAAGUAGGGUGUGAAAUGCCUUGGCUCAACCAAGGCACAGCGCUCUAAACUACUUUGCUUGAGUGAGUCAGGGGUGCACGGAACUUCCGGUGGAGCGGUGAAAUGUGUUGAUAUCGGAAGGAACACCGGCGGCGAAAGCGGUGCACUGGGGCUUAACUGACACUGAGGCACGAAAGCCAGGGGAGCGAACGGGAUUAGAAACCCGAGUAGU
rnacentral:rRNA from 1 species